UCUCUCUUGAAUUAGUUAAUGAUACAAUUAUUUUAUAAUAUAAACAAAUUUUUUAAAAACUUCUAAACACGUUUUUAUUAUUUGCAGAUAUAUUUGGAUCCGUUUGACAAAAAAAAAAAGUAAUGGGUUUUUAAACAACCCUUAUUGGGCUACUCUAAAACCUCCAGUAUAGGAUUUAAAGUUUAAACCUAUGUAGAUUCUUUAAAUCAAUGUUUGACUCGGCGUUAUAACUGGAUCAAUAAUCGGAUUGGUCCAACCGAUUCAACCAAAUUUUAAAUUUUAAUUAAAUUUAUAUUAAGUAACUAUAUAUAUAUAUAUUUAUAUCAUUGUUAGAAUCUAAAAAAAAAAUAUCAUUUUUAUUUUAUUUUUUCCUCUCAAAAUAACAUUCUUGUAUGUUUAAAGUAAAUCAUAGAUGAAUAUUUCUUUUUAACAUAGAUGAAUGUUAUUUUGGCAUACAUUAGAAUAAAUUUCAUCUUUAUCAAAGAUUUUUUUUUUAAUUUAGAAGAAAAAAGUAUAGAUAAUAACAAACUUCCCUACCAAAUAGAGCAAAUAAAUUAACAAAUUACUGGAACGCCAGAUUAUUUGUUAUUUAAAAAUAGAUUAAUGAAAUUGUAUUUUGGGCAAUUUUCUCAAAUAACAUUUUUUAAGUUUUUAUCACAAAAUAGCCCUAAAACAAUGAUCAAAAUAGCUUCUUUUUAUUUUGAAAAUUUUAAUUUUAAUUUUUAAUUUUUUAUUUAAUUUGAAACCCUAUCUCCAAAAUUUUACUCCUUAACUCCAAAUCAUAAAUCUAAAUUAGUUAACUCUAGGAUAAAAAUAUAUUUUUAUCAUAAUAAAAAUUAUUUGGUCAUUUUCUUUAUUAAAACUAUUUUUUGCGAUAAAAACUAAAAAAUGUUAUCUGAGGGAAUUUUUUUUGUAUUUUUCUACUUGUAAAUAAAUGGCCUUUGAACCCCGUUAAAGGGCCUAAUUUCUCCGUUUCCGGUUUUACUUGUUAACUUGGUCCGAAUGUUAUUGAGCUUUUAAGCCCAUUGAACAAUAAUCUGGCGUCGUGUUGGAAUUAGAAGACCAAACAAAAGACAGGCGUGCGUGUUGUUUCAUAGGGAUGAUCUAAAUCAUAAUUUCUCCACUUCAUUUCCAUACUUUAUUUUAUUUUAAAACCACUUUUAUCUUUGGGAUCUAUGGUAUUAAUCAUGAUAUUGCUUUGACGGACUAAAGCCUAAAGUGCUUUUCACACUUGGUUAAGGCUGCAUUCUCUAAUAUGGACACACAGAACGUUUUUUUUUCACACAAGACAUGGUUCUCCAUACUUUUUCAAAUCUAUACAUUGUGAUGAUAAAAAAACAUCUAGUACUUAUGGAUCUCGAAGAAACAGAUAAUAUCAUAUAUAGACGUUACAUAUUCAAACUAACAAUGGCAAAAAAAUGGCUUGAUAAAAAAGUGGCUUGCAUUGCAUGCCGCGGUAAAAAUCUACGCCACGUUGGCAAAAAGAGAGACAGAGUGUGUGUUGACUGUUUGGUAAGAAAAGUUUGAUAUUCAGUAGUGUUAUUGACAAGGAUUUAACAGGAAACAGAAACAGAGUACUCACCAAUCAUUUGAACACAGUAAGAAACAACAAGAAAAGAAAACGCGUGCCAUUCACGACAUCUUUGGCCCCUCUCGAGCGAGGCGUGAUUAAGUAAAAAAUAUUACAAAAUUAUGUAUAUAAUAAAAAUAGAAACGUUUAAUAUUUUAUUUCAUACAUAGAUUUGCAGGUGUUCUUC